GUGGUAAAGAACCCGCCUGCCAAUGCAGAAGACGCAGGUUUGAUCCUUCCCUCCAGGAAGAUCCCCUGGAGAAGGAAAAGGCAACGCACUCCAGUGCUCCUGCCUGAGAAGCCUAUGGACAGAGGAACCUGGGGGGCUACAGCCCACGGGGUCACCAAAGAGUCGGACGCUUUAAUCGACUAAACAAAAACAACUGCAUGUGUGUGGAGUUGGGGCAAAUUCUGGACAAAAGAUGCUGAAAGAUCAAAAGAGCUCAACUGCCACUUUUGAAGACCUGGGAACAAAAACGGGGUUGAGAACACAGCAAGCAAAUGAUGAUGAUAACAGAUUGAACACCUUAGUUUGCACUUCCUCUGGACCGUAAUCAUCUAUUGCUGUGAAAGUGAGCUUCAGGGGAGGAAGCUGUAUCCUUAUAGAUAAAUCCCUGUGAUUGCUCCAGGACCGCUGUUCGCUCCAACCUAAGAAUCUUAGCAUGUAUGCAGAUCCCCACACAUAGUUAAUGGGCAGAGAGGAGGAAACAGUUGGAGUUCUCGACUCCAGUGGUGAUGGCCAGCAUGAGACUGAUCAGCAGCAAGAGCGCCCUUGACCUUCAGAGCAUCUCUGCUUUCAUCCUCUUACCUAGCUGGCGUCAUCUAGGCAUUAUUGAAGCUACACAUAUGUACGGUGGGGAGUGAAGCAGACGUGUUGCCUGUCUUCAUGUCCGUCAGCCGGGGUUCCAGCAGAAGCCAGUGACGCACCUCAAACUGCAUAAUCGAGGAAUGGCUUAUUAAAGGGAAUAUUUUUUCAAGUGGUAGAAAGUUGUAGCCUGGAGCCAGAAAUAGCCAUUAGCACUCUUGGCCUGAAGAGACAAGGGGAGGGAGUGAUUUUCUAAACCCUGGAAGACCACAGCCCUGUGGUGAGAUGCUGCCUUGGGAGAAGCAGUGACCUUGGAUCGGUAGUCCCGGUCCAAGGUGACUUUCGUAGAGGGAGCUGGACAACAGAUAACCUGCCUGUCCCUUCAUCACCCUGCUUGGCCCUUCCCUCCAAUAUCCUGCCGGGCUUUCAGCUGGCCCAACCCAACAGACGGGCACAAGGCGUGGGAGUCUGUGAUGUUUUCUAUUUGAGUCCUCAUCAUGGAGCAAAAAGGCAGCAUGGGAAUUUUUAGAAUUAACUGGGACGAGCAAGCAAAAGGUACAGAGAAUGCCAGCAAACUCCCAUGCUGUUCUCUGUCUGUGUGGGCAUGCGCCCAUCCUUUCAAGACUGCGUGUGGUACUUCUUUCAACUCGGCCUCACCUGUAAGGAAUACUGUGCCUGUCGGGGAGUGAAAGUGAAAGUCGCUCAGUCAUGUCUGACUCUUUGUGACCCCAUGGACUAUACAGUACAUGGAAUUCUCCAGGCCAGAAUACUGGAGUGGGAGGCUUUCCCGUAUCCAGGGGAUCUUCC
ensembl:lncRNA